AUCGAACGCUGGCGGCAGGCCUAACACAUGCAAGUCGAGCGGAGCGGCGGUUGGGCGCGUAAUGCCUAGGACUCUGCCUGGUAGUGGGGGACAGCGUCCGGAACCGGGCGCUAAUACCGCAUACUAUCAGAUGAGCCCAGGUGGGUUUAGCUAGUUGGUGGGGUAAAGGCCUACCAAGGCGACGAUCCGUAACUGGUUGGAGAGGAUGAACAGUCACGCUGGAACGGAGACACGGUCCAGACUCCUACGGAAGGCAGCAGUGGGGAAUAUUGGACAAUGGGCGAAAGCCUGAUCCAGCCAUGACGCGUGUGUGAAGAAGGUCGUCGGAUUGUAAAGCACUUUGAGUUGGGAGGCGUUACCAACAGAAUAAGCACCGGCUAACUGCGUGCCAGCAGCCGCGGUAAUUC
rnacentral:rRNA from 1 species